AUGCUCUUGUCACUAUAUCUAACAAUCGCGUUGCAUUUAGGUUAUGUUCGUGGAUUCGUACUUUUCAAUUACUCGUAUUUUUAUUUUCUUUUAAUGGUGAUAUGCAUCUCGUAGUGAUCUGUGUUAGAUAUGACGUCGGUAUGUUUCAUUUCGCGAAAAAUACAUAUACGAUAAUAAAUGUAAUUAACACAUGUAAUAACUAGUGUAUAAAUUUGCGAUAGAAAACGUGAUCUUAUUGAAUGUUUUGUCAAAAAUAAUUAGUGGAUAUUUAUAAUCAAAUAUCAUUUUUAAUCAAAUAUAAUUUAAACUAAUUAAAAUGUAAAUAUUUAAUUCUAAUAAAAUAUAAAUAUAAAUUAAAAUAUGAGACGUAUUUAUCGAUGGGUAUGUCAAAAUUAUCAAGGACACGGCAAUUUAUUGAUAAUUUGUGCGAAAAACUAUCACGUAAAAUAAUACGUCCUUUCUUCUUUUGUUAUCAUAUCAAAUAAGGAAAACAAAAAAAUAAAUUAGUUGAUUAUAUUCGUUUAUAUCGAUAUAAUAAAAAGAAACUAAUAGAAUCAUUUAAUCUUGUAUCUGCAGUAUCUGAAUUAUGAAUGUGCUAUGCAUUGCUUACAAAAUCUCUGUUUCCAAUUUAUAAAAUAUAAAAGAAAUUACACAUUUUUAAAAAUUUGAUGAUAUCUUAGAAAUUUAAAUCAAUCGAUAUGAAUGACUAGAUGUGUAUUUUCUGAUUUUUAUUAUCUGUCCAAAACUUAUUAAAAUACCAGAGUUACGGUAGCUUCUUUAUAUCAACAUCAUGAAACGUAAUUCUUUAAGUUUAUAUAUUGCAUUAAAAAAUUGUAAAGAUAAAGCUGAAGUUUUUCUAUAAGGAUUAGGGAAACUAAUAUUAGGAUGUUAAAUAUAAUGCAAGCUUAUAAAUUGAUCUUAUUAAAUUAUUCUCACUAGUAAAAUAUCCUUUAAGUUCAGAUAUUCCAAUGAUAUCCCUAUUCAUUAGUUAAGAAUUAUAAGAAAGCAAAAAGAACUAACAAUUUGAAUGUUUUUAGAAUUUAAUGUUAAAGUGUAAUAUCAUGUCAUGUUUAGAUGGAAACAUUCGUAUAAUUGAUUUAUAACAUCUUUCAGAAUGUAAGAAAAAAUUGUUUCCAGAGAAUGGAUUGUUGCAAUAUCAAUGACCAAUAAUGAUUAUGAGUAUAUAAACAAUCAUGUAAUAUAUGAUAGAAAUUUGUUUCCUGCAACAAUAUAUAUAUGUUUGGCAAACAUUAGGUAUUAUAGUAGGAAACUUGUAUACCUGAAUGUCUGUUAUCAUUAAAAAUAUAAAGUUCAAUUGAAUUACCACCGUCCUUGAAGAGAGAACACUUAAAACGAUGGUCAUGAUUCACAAAAAUAAUUACUUUCUAGCAUGUAUAAAUUAUUUUUUAAAGAUUUGAAUACAUGAUGAUUUUCAAAUAAGUAGCAGUAAAUUCAAAAUCAUCAUAAGAGAUGCUAUUGUUUUGAAAGAUUUGUUUCGUAACAAAUUUAUCAGAGGUGAAAGUAUUCUUUGAUGUGAUCAAGAGGAAUAUUUACAAUGAAAAAAAAGAAUUAGCUGAAAAAGAUAUCUAUAGAGUUGAAAUUGUGGUUGAAAUGUGGUUACCAAUAUAGCAGUCACUUUCAAAGCAUGCGCAGCGCAUCUAUUUUGGGAAAAAAGAAUAUAUCAAAUGGAAAAAUAAUUGGGUAGUAUUCAUGGAUAAUAUGUUACAGAUGAAAAUUAUCAGUUUGGAUCCUAGAGUUUGGGUAUUUAUGCUGAUUGAAAUUUGAAAAUUGAUAAUAGAUCCUAAAGAUCAUCAACAAUAUUUUUAAAAUUUGACUACUAAUGAAAAAUAAAAAUAUUACACUUAUUAUUAAUGAAAUGUGAAGUAAUAUAUGGAUUUAAAGUAUACCUAUACAAUUUUUCAAAGACAUUGAUGUAAUUAAAAGUGGAAAUCUAUAAAAUUAGAGCUACUGUGAUUACUGGAAAGAGAUCUAUCAGUGAUCCAAUUAUCAAAGAAUAUAAAUUCAUUGCUUAUAGUGACAGAAAGGAAAUGUCAUUAUGAGAAAUAGUAAUAUUAUUUAUAUAUAUCACUUUUGAAAAUAUGUUCAAAGUAAAGACAAUCAAACUUGUUGAAGAUAAGGACAAUAUUUCAACUGAGGAACUCGUCUCUCCAGUACUGUUAGAUAUUUUAAAUAAUUUGCUUUUAGUUAAAGCUAAUAUUAAUGUAUUUGAAAAAUACAUUUGAAAAUAAAUUGAAAAAUUAUACAAAUGAAAAUACAUUGAAAAAUAAAUUGGAAGGUAUUCCUAAAGAUGUCAUAGUUUCAGAAUCAAAUAUGAUAGAAAUGGAUGAUACCAAUCCAUUUGCUAUUGGACAUGAUUUGUUCACGAACGAAGAGAAAAACCGCUUGAAAAAAAUUUUUUAAAUCUAUAAAAAAUGGAGCUUUUUUUUUAUCUCUUAGAAAAAGCAAUACAAUAAUUAGACUUAUCGAUUUUAUAGGAAUUUCAAUUACGUAUAGUUUUAAAAAAAUGUACCUCCGGGGAAUCUUGGAUAUUUUCAAAAAAGAUAAAUAAAAUCCUGGUACAGACUAUGAUUGUUAACAUUAAGAGCAAUGAAUUUAAUUAGUUGCAAAAAGUGCAAGCUAUACUUAAAAGAAAAGAAGAAGAGGAUAUCAGCAACAUGAGAGUCAUACUCAUUGAAGAAGGAAACUUUGAGUCGGGUCUCUUAGGAUUCAUUAAUUGCUUACAGAAAGAACCUGGUGAGAAUAUCUGAGUUGUUUUAAGAUCUAUUUUAAGAUCUAUUUUAAGAUCUUAAAGCUCCGAAUUCUUUGAAAUUAACACUUUACUUUGGACCACUUGAAACGGAUCUCGUUACUAAUGUAAAUUCAUUAAAGAAUACUAUCAAAUCAAUUGUUCGUCAAGAUCAAGUACAUGUAGCACUUAAAUUCAUGACAGCUGGAAACCAUUCGAGGAAAAUAAAUUGAUGUUCUUCUUUGUUAUAUAUAUAUAUAUAUAUUUGUUUUAACAAAUUAAAUUACAAUUUGAAAUUCGUCUUAUGUUAUAGGUAUCUAUAAAGAGAAUUGCACAUUAAUAUGGUACAUAAUUUUUACAUAUUACAGCACAUAUUAGAUAAAUUUAAAGAUCAAAAUGAUUUCAUGUUAGUGGAGUAUUCAUUUGGAUUGCUUAUAGCUAUUGAACUCACACGAAAGUUAGAAACCAAAAGAUUUAUUGGUCAGCUUAUUUUGGUUGGCGGGACUCCUCGGCAUCUGAAAAUGCUUAUACAGCAAUAAUUGCAUUCGUCAUCAUAGGAAGAACUGGAAAUCAAUAUUUUGUUUGGUAUAAUAAACACAUGUAUGGCUAUUAACAGUGCAGAAGUUCAUUUAUAUUUUCCUAAAAGCUUGAAUUUGAAUUAAAAAAAUACAAUAUGUGGAAUGAGAAAGUAAAAGCAUUUUUUAAUGUUCUAUCAACGUAACGUAUUUUUAAUGUUCCCAAACAAAAGGAAUUAAAAAAAUGCUAUUUGCUCUCUGAAUGUCAGAUUACAAGCAAUUAUGCCAUACGAUCCAAAACCAAUACCAUAUGUAAGAAUAACAGUUACAAUGUUCAAACCGCUGUUAUCAUCUGUACUAAAUAUCCAGUAUAAUUAUGGAUUAUUACUAAAGCCAAAGUGGGUGUUGUUGACAGCGAUCAUGUCACGAUAUUAUACGUGAUCGAUACGAAAAUUGUAAUGGCAAUUAAUGAUGAAUUAUUCUAGGUUGUUAAAAUAUUUAAGGAAAAUAUAAUGAAAGAAAACCAAUGUGGCGUUGGUAAUGUAUGUGUGAUGGAUGUUUAGAAAUAUUUGAUAUCAGCUUUAUCUGACAAAUUCAUUCUUAUAUUAAAAUAAAGAAUAUGCAUGGAGGAAUAAUGUUUCAUACGUGAUAAAUAUUUGAAAAGUAUAGCAGAUAAUUGAAUAUUAUCUUUUGCUAUUUAAAUUAUAUUUGCAGAAAAAGUACAUGGAGCCUCGUACUUGUUAUAAGGGUAGGAUUUAUUCGCGACUAGCUUUAAUAAUAUUGGACAUUUUGCUUGGAUCUUAUAAUCUUUUCAAUACAAAAUAUCAAUCUAAUUUAUUUAUGCUUAUAUGAGCAAAUGAGACAUCGAUCAAACGAGUAUUACGAUUUUUUCCUCGUGGAACUUUAUCUUUUUGUUUUAUCGUGAUUCUAUUCGCGAUUUUAAGUUCACUUAAGGAGACUUUUCCAUUAGGAAACCUUUCACCGUGCCUUUCUGCAAGCCGGAUUAACGUAGAGUCAGAUACAUUUGUCACUUGUGUACUAGAAUAUCCAACGUACGAUGUUACUUGUUACAAUCUUAACAGGAGCGAUCAGUUGUGUUUAGUUUCUAAAUUACGGAAUAGAUGAUCCUCCUGUUUGCGUAUCUUGUUGUUACAACUCUUCGAAGUAUUCUACCAACAACACUUUUCUGUUAUUGUUAUGUUAUUAUAAUGGAAUUUUCUGUUAUUUUAAAUACGUUACGGUCGCACAGAUAGCGUCAUUUAGAUAUGUUUACAAAAGAAAUCUUAAGAGACUUCAAUAAGAGAAUACAAGAAGUGUCUUAAAUUUUUGAGAAUAUAUUAAAUUAAUAAUUUUGAAAGUACUUUAAUCUUCUAAUAAUGUGUUUUAGCCAGUUUUCUCACGAAAGUUAACAUAACAAUUUUCUUCUAUUAGAGAUUCUUCUAUUAGUUUGAGCAAAUGAUAUAGUCAAUGUACUAAUAUUUUCGGUUUUUUCCGAUUCCAACUGGAAAUCUAGUAGCUAUGUGUGUGUGUGUAUCACACACAUACACAGGGGGGGGGGGAGAGCUACUAUAUUUCCAGUUGGAAUGUAUACAUACAUAUACACAUAAAUGUGUAUGGUCAAGAUAUCAGUUUAAGAUAUUUCACCACAUCUGUGUUUACGCAUUGAUCAAUCAAACUUUAUUAAAAUUUUAUUUGAUGAUUUAAGAUUAUAAAAAUAGGUCGAAGCCAUUUGUUUGCGGAGCACAGCUUUAAUCUCUGACAUAAUAAGCAUUUUUCGGUGACGAAAAACGAUUUAUAAAAUAAAGUUAAAACUUAUUUUUAUAGUCAGAUUGCUUAUUCAACUCUAUGAACCUCUUAAUUCGUAGAAUCACGAGACCGAAAUAGUCCAUGCUACCGAUCAAUCGCGAUUUUUUAACAAUUGGAAAUGUUUCGAGUAAAAAUCUUUCGUCCUUCACCCUACGGUAGCCAUCGAUACAUAAGAAUAUCCGUCACAAUAGAGAUUAAAUUUGUUAUCGUGUUUUUAUUUAUAUAUAAUUGGCGGAUGAGAAUAAAAAAAUAAUUAAAUAUAUAAUAUAUGAACGUUAUUAUUAAACGAUUUCAAUUCUUAUAAUCUCGUAUUAAGCAUAAGAGUCGUCCAACUCAUUGAAAACUAUUCUGCUAUCGCACUUUCAUGUUAUUACGAGUUCGGUGAAUUAUUACGCAACCUGAGCAUAAAAUCUGCAAAUUUAACAUAAAUAGAUCUUCCACAUUUAACAUAAAAAUGAAAAUGUAUCUCGAAUUGAUUGAAUCGUUAAAUAUGUCUCUCCAAUACAUUUCACAUAAAUAUCCAGCAAAGUGUGAACAGGAUAUGGUGAAAAUUGAUUCGUUAUACUUCUUUUUUUUAACAAAUCUCGUUUAUGUGAUUCGAAGCUUGAGUAUAAGAACAAUGUGAUAAUUACUUAAUCUGAAUUGUUGAUUAUAACGCAAGUGUAAAUAAAUUUGAAAGCCAUAUAUGUUUUAUAUAAUAAUAAAAUUGUCAGUAUUAAGGAUAUUAUUAAAUUUAUUACUAUUAUUGAUAAUUUAGAAACAUAGAAUUUUUAUUAAAAUUAUCAUGUGAUCAAUUAUGAUUAUUAAUGCACAUAUGCUUUCUCAUUUUAUUUUAAUAAGAUUUUAUUUUUAAGAUUUUAAUUUAAUAAUAUCUAUCGUAUUACGACGAAAGUUGAUCAUUUUAUCAUUGAAUAGUUUUAUUUCAUUGUUAACAAUAUUAUAUAUGUUCAGUCUAACGUAUUUACAUAUUAAUACAAUGCAAAAAAAAAUUUGUGACGUCAAUUGGAAAUGAAAAUACGCAUAUAUUUUAUUCCUAGAUUUGUUUUUUUUCUGUUAAUUACUUUUAAGUUAAACGUAAUCAUUACUGAUCAAGGUGUGAUUUAUGAUAGGAUAGCUUCAGGAAAAAUAGAUACAAAUAUCCCCAAAAUAUUACGCGCAAUUCUGCUUUAAAACAUAAAAUGAAUUUUAAUGUUUAACAAGAAUCAACUUAUCUACAAAAUUAACAUUUAUAAAUUCUCUUAAAGAUAAUAGCAAAUAAUCCGGAACGUACAUGAAUCAUGUCUGCUUAGGACGAGUUCCCAUUGAAAACAGACAAAUACUUGAGUUAAAAUUUUGUCGGUAAAAUGGACUAUUCGUUUCGAGUUCAUUCCAAAUUCUUCUAGGCCAGCCUGUAAUAAUAUAUUUUGUAAGAUAUAUGAAAUUGAUCAAAUAAAUUUCUUUAUUAUAAUUUCUAUUUAAUAAAAAUGUAA